AUACGUAGGGAGCGAGCGUUGUACGGAAUCACUGGGCGUAAAGGGUGCGUAGGCGGGACUGCAAGUAAGAUGUGAAAAGACGGGGCUCCACCCCGGAGCUGCCUUUGAAAAUGUGGAGUUUGAGGGAGGUAGAGGUAAGCGGAAUUCCUUGAGUAGCGGUGAAAUGCGUAGAUAUUAGGAGGAACAUCGGUGGCGAAGGCGGCUUACUGGGCCUUUACUGACGCUGAGGCACGAAAGCGUGGGGAGCAAACAGGAUUAGAUACCCUGGUAGUCCACGCUGUAAACGAUGAUGACUAGGUGUGGGGGGACUGAACCCUUCCGUGCCGCAGUUAACACAAUAAGUCAUCCACCUGGGGAGUACGGCCGCAAGGUUGAAACUCAAAUGAAUUGACGGGG
rnacentral:rRNA from 1 species